rnacentral:rRNA from 1 species
CCCUUAGAUGUCCUGGGCCGCACGCGCGCUACACUGACAUGUUCAACAAGCCUCCUAGUUCGACAGGAUUUGGGAAAUCUUUGAACGCAUGUCGUGAUAGGGAUAGAUCUUUGCAAUUAUUGAUCUUGAACGAGGAAUUCCUAGUAAACGCGAGUCAUCAGCUCGCAUUGAUUACGUCCCUGCCCUUUGUACACACCGCCCGUCGCACCUACCGAUUGAAUGUUUCGGUGAAGAUUCCGGAUAGGACUUUUUUGAUUUAUUUCAAUUUUGUCUUAAAAGCUAUCUAAACCUCAACAUUUAGAGGAAGGUGAAGUCGUAACA